UCGAUUUUGCCCCUAAUUGUGGCAUUGUGUUGUGUAAACAUCCUGUUCCACAGACUCAUCCUGGUCUUCACUGUUCUGUUUGCAUCACAGAUUUUGUGCCACAGACUGCAUGUUACAUGAUAGGGAAAUAAGUGUAUUUAACGUUUUUCGUUUGUUUGUUUUUUGUGCCACAGCAAUAAUCCUAUUUGACUUUUUCUGAUCCAACACCGUGUCCUAAUAUGGCUCAUGUCCGGCUGUUGCUGUGUGUGUUGGUGGUGGUUAACUCACUGCCUGGUGCUGAUGAUGCUGAUGCUGUGUGUGUGUGUGUGUGUGUUGGUGGUGGUUAACUCACUGCCUGGUGCUGAUGAUGCUGAUGCUGUGUGUGUGUGUGUGUGUGUUGGUGGUGGUUAACUCACUGUCUGGUGCUGAUGCUGAUGCUGUGUGUGUGGUGGUGGUUAACUCACUGCCUGGUGCUGAUGAUGCUGAUGCUGUGUGUGUGUGUGUGUGUGUUGGUGGUGGUUAACUCACUGUCUGGUGCUGAUGCUGAUGCUGUGUGUGUGGUGGUGGUUAACUCACUGCCUGGUGCUGAUGAUGCUGAUGCUGUGUGUGUGUGUGUGUGUGUUGGUGGUGGUUAACUCACUGUCUGGUGCUGAUGCUGAUGCUGUGUGUGUGGUGGUGGUUAACUCACUGUCUGGUGCUGAUGCUGAUGCUGUGUGUGUUGGUGGUGGUUAACUCACUGUCUGGUGCUGAUGCUGUGUGUGUUGGAGAUGAUUGCGUGUGUGUGUGUGUUGGUGGUGGUUAACUCACUGUCUGAUGCUGAUGCUGAUGCUGUGUGUGUUGGAGAUGAUUGCGUGUGUGUGUUGGUGGUGGUUAACUCACUGUCUGAUGCUGAUGCUGGUGCUGUGUGUGUUGGAGAUGAUUGCGUGUGUGUGUGUGUUGGUGGUGGUUAACUCACUGUCUGGUGCUGAUGCUGAUGCUGUGUGUGUGUGUUGGUGGUGGUUAACUCACUGUGUGGUGCUGAUGCUAUGUGUGUGUGUUGGAGAUGAUUGCGUGUGUGUGUGUGUUGGUGGUGGUUAACUCACUGUCUGGUGCUGAUGCUGAUGCUGUGUGUGUGUGUUGGUGGUGGUUAACUCACUGUGUGGUGCUGAUGCUGUGUGUGUGUGUUGGAGAUGAUUGCGUGUGUGUGUGUGUGUGUGUUGGUGGUGGUUAACUCACUGUCUGGUGCUGAUGCUGAUGCUGAUGCUGUGUGUGUUGGUGGUGGUUAACUAACUGUCUGAUGCUGAUGAUGCUGUUGCUGUGUGUGUGUGUGUUGGUGGUAGGGAUGGGUAUCGUUUGUUUUUUAUCCGAUACCGGUACAUAACCGAUACUUUUAAAACGAUACCGGUGCCUAAACGGUGCCGGAACCGAUACUUUUAUAAAAAAAAAAAAAUUUAAGACGACAUUUAAGAAAGGCUUUAUUGCCAAAUAUAUGAACUGUUUAAAGUAGAUUAUAUAUAAAUAAAUACAAAACACUUUUUAACUUAAAACUUAAA
rnacentral:lncRNA from 1 species